UGCAGAUGAAUGUAAAAGCCUAUUUGCUAUCUGAGAGAUGUGGAUGACAUUUUAAACCACCAAGAUCGCUGAUGCA
rnacentral:snoRNA from 10 species